rnacentral:tmRNA from 1 species
GGGGGCGUACUGGCUUCGACGGGUUUGUAUCGGUUUAGGAAGGCGUGUCGGGUUCCGAGCUCCCGUUAAACGAUCGGAAAACCAUAACUGCCAACACGCAGUUUGCAUACGCUGCCUAAUUAAUUAGGUAGCCGGCCUCAGCGGUGAGCCCGUGCGCCGCCUAUGGACGUCAUUUUACGGGAUAGGCUGAGAGCUUCUGUCCGGAGCAGCAGGCCGAGAUCAAUCGGGCUAGGCGACUGAGGAUUUUGCCGGUUCAGAAUCAGGAGCCAAAACAACAGAAUCGGAUACACACGUAGGCUUUCUAGGGCGAGCAUUCUCGGACGCGGGUUCGACUCCCGCCGCCUCCACCA